UGUAUAUGCAGUCAUGGUUGGCAAAACAAUCUCGGCGAUCAACAUAGUGUUUGUAACACAGAUGUAGACGAAUGCACGAUUCCGGGUGUUUGUAAUCACAUAGGGUGCUGUACAAAUACACCAGGUAGUUUUACGUGCGACUGCUAUCCACCUUGGACCGGAAGUGACUGUUCGGCAUAUAAUUGUACGAACGAAAAAUGUCAUAAUGGAGGAACGUGCGAAGAAAGUGUUUGCUCAUGUGUAUACCCUUGGACGGGAAAAAACUGCGCUGAACAAAUCAACGACGUCCAUACUGACGUGACAAAACAUCGAAACACAAACUUGUUAGAUUCCCUACACCUUUCAGACAGGAUAUUUCUGUACAUCACGUUUGGAGUAGUUGGCCUACUGCUGCUGGUUGUAGUUGUGCUCUCGCGAUCUUUGUGUCAAAAGAGAAGUCUCUCGAAAAAGAUAUCAGCUUCGUCGCAACAACAUACAGAGUUUGCAACGUCGAUGAAAUGAACAAGACGUGAGCCCACUCUAUUGAAUAAGAUAUCUGUGUUAAAUAUGUGCAUAUUUUCAUUGUAAAGACUUAACUCAAACGAACAUAUAAAUGUUAGUCUUAGCAAAAUGAUGACCUGUUUUAAUACAAUACGUAUUCUUUCAUGUAAAAGACAGAUAUUAGUCUAUAACGAUGUUGUAAAAAGAAUACUGUUAAGAACAUAACAUACAUCAAAAUGCCAAAAAGAUUAUUCGAGAUGUGUUUCAAGUGGAAUACAUGCCAAAAAAA